GCGAUGAUGAUGUAGAGGUAGCACGUUGGACCGUCCAACUAUCGUCCAACGUCGUGGCCCUGGUUCAAUUCCAAGUUGUCGCC